ACUUAUUAUAAUGUUUUUUUUUUUUUACAUAAUCACGAAUAUAUAAUAAAAAAUUAAUAAGUCACGUUUAAAACGACCAGUAUAAUAUAGACACAUCGUUAUUAAUAGAAGUAAGAUAAUGAACUAUUCGAAAUCUUGAAUUAUUUCAAGUUUAAGAAAUUAAAACUGUUAGAAUUGAACAUACCGAACAGUUUAAAAUGAACCGAUGAUAACAGCAGAAAUCAUUUACCACAGUUGUUUUCAACUUACAAUUAUUACCUUUUUUGUUUCCAAUAUAGGAUGGGAUAGUUUUAUUAAUUUGAAAAAAGUUUGGAAAAUAUUCAAGACUCAAGUUCGUGUGUUCAAAUAAUUCAAGAAAAAUUAAGAUAAUAGCUCUGUUUUGAAUUGAUAUCCAAAUGUUUAAGUGGUGUAUCGCAUUAAUUCUAUGUUGCAACAUAAUAUUGAACAGUUAUAUGGAUUAACAUAUAAUCAAUACAAAUCACAAUGUUGUACUACAUUCGAGUUAAUAAAGCCAAAGGCAACUGACAGCAAAUCAAGUGGAAUUGAAAGGAACUAAAUGAAUUCAAAAUGGCAUCUUUACACAAUGUAAAUAUAGAGCCCUUUGAAAUUCUUUACAAAAAUGUAAACACGCGUUAAUAAUAAGAUCACAAUAAUUGUUGACGAACAAUGGUUUAAAAGUUAGAUAUAUCACGUUAUGUAUUUAGAAAAAUUGUAUAAUGUAGAGGAAAUCGACAUUAAAUAUG